ACGCUGGCGGCGUGCUUAACACAUGCAAGUCGAACGAUGAACCGCCUUUCGUGGCGGGGAUUAGUGGCGAACGGGUGAGUAACACGCUGGGCAAUCCUGCCCUGCACUCUGGGACAAGCCCUGGAAACGGGGUCUAAUACCGGAUAUGACUGUCCAUCGCAUGGUGGAUGGUGUAAAGCUCCGGCGGUGCAGGAUGAGCCCGCGGCCUAUCAGCUUGUUGGUGAGGUAGUGGCUCACCAAGGCGACGACGGGUAGCCGGCCUGAGAGGGCGACCGGCCACACUGGGACUGAGACACGGCCCAGACUCCUACGGGAGGCAGCAGUGGGGAAUAUUGCACAAUGGGCGAAAGCCUGAUGCAGCGACGCCGCGUGAGGGAUGACGGCCUUCGGGUUGUAAACCUCUUUCAGCAGGGAAGAAGCGAAAGUGACGGUACCUGCAGAAGAAGCGCCGGCUAACUACGUGCCAGCAGCCGCGGUAAUACGUAGGGCGCAAGCGUUGUCCGGAAUUAUUGGGCGUAAAGAGCUCGUAGGCGGCUUGUCACGUCGGUUGUGAAAGCCCGGGGCUUAACCCCGGGUCUGCAGNUCGAUACGGGCAGGCUAGAGUUCGGUAGGGGAGAUCGGAAUUCCUGGUGUAGCGGUGAAAUGCGCAGAUAUCAGGAGGAACACCCGGUGGCGAAGGCGGAUCUUCUGGGCCGAUACUACCGCUAGGAGCAAAGCG
rnacentral:rRNA from 1 species